UACGAAGGGGGCUAGCGUUGCUCGGAAUCACUGGGCGUAAAGGGUGCGUAGGCGGGUUUUUAAGUCAGGGGUGAAAUCCUGGAGCUCAACUCCAGAACUGCCUUUGAUACUGAAGAUCUUGAGUUCCGGGAGAGGUGGAGUGGAACUGCGGAAGUGUAGAGGUGAAAUUCGAUAGAUAUUGGGAAGAACACCAGUGGCGAAGGCGGCUCACUGGCCCGUAACUGACGCUGAGGUGCGAAAGCGGUGGGGAGCAAACA
rnacentral:rRNA from 1 species